UUUUGUUUCACUUUUCAGGCCGGGGAUAGGUGCUUUCUUCACAUUGGUCAUUGGUGAGAACAAUCUAAUAAUGGGUUCUUGCCAUGUAUUGCUCAUGAUUGCAAGAUCGGUGACAACAACAUAUCUGCCAACAAUACUCUUCUUGCAGGCCAUGUGGUCGUAGAGGUAAUAUUAACUAUACACACACAGCAGGAGCCACUGUGGUUCACCAGUUUUGCCACAUUGGUUCUUUCUCUUGCAUCAGUGGUGGUUCAGUGGUAUGUCCUUUCUCAGAGCUCUCAGUUGCAAUGUGCCUUUCCUCACACAACGGGAACUCUUAUCGGGUUUUCUGCAUAAAAAGUGGAAUGCAAAGCUCCGGGUUUUUUCUUGUUGUC